rnacentral:rRNA from 1 species
CCUACGGGUGGCAGCAGUGAGGAAUAUUGGUCAAUGGGCGCGAGCCUGAACCAGCCAAGUCGCGUGAGGGAAGACGGUCCUAUGGAUUGUAAACCUCUUUUGUCGGGGAGCAAAAGACGCCACGCGUGGCGUUCCGUGAGUACCCGAAGAAAAAGCAUCGGCUAACUCCGUGCCAGCAGCCGCGGUAAUACGGAGGAUGCGAGCGUUAUCCGGAUUUAUUGGGUUUAAAGGGUGCGCAGGCGGAAGAUCAAGUCAGCGGUAAAAUUGAGAGGCUCAACCUCUUCGAGCCGUUGAAACUGGUGUUCUUGAGUGAGUGAGAGGUAUGCGGAAUGCGUGGUGUAGCGGUGAAAUGCAUAGAUAUCACGCAGAACUCCGAUUGCGAAGGCAGCAUACCGGCGCUCAACUGACGCUCAUGCACGAAAGUGUGGGUAUCGAACAGGAUUAGAUACCCGAGUAGUC